UAGAGGUCUAUUUUGUAACUCUUAACGAUCUCGCUAGAGCAUCGUUAACUUACGAUAAUCGUUCCCAUAACGAUUUUGGGACUGAUAGCGAUUUUGUAACAUCUAUCGUCUCGUUACAUAGCGAUCGUAUCGUUAGAAUGUCAUCGUUCCGGAACGAUAGGUUUCAGCUCACCGUUAGAAGUGUCAGAACACGUUAGAAAAGUAUUUAUACAAUGAAGAGGAACGUUUUGGUGCAAAUAUGGGUAGAGAAGGUAAAUAGACAGAAUGAGAAAUUUGUCUCGGGUCUUAAGAGAUGUAAACGACCCCUUGAUCGUUCGAGAAGAAACCUUUAGGAAGACCUACCAACUGUAAUGGGAAGCGGCGAGAGAUACAUUUCCAGAAAUACUGCCGCAGAGUUCUGUAUUAUUCACCAGAAGUUGCAGGAAAAAUUACAUACUCAUGUGCUGUUUCACACAAUCUUACGCAUAAGAAAUAUCGAAAAUGACGAGAUCAAUAUUGUCUAUGACAAGAAGAACGAUAAUAAUGAAGAACUUGAAUAUGAAGAACACAAUUUACUACAUGAAUGGCAUAUCACAAGAAAUAAUUUAAUAAUACAGCAUUUUCAAUAAUGUAUUUAUUAUUUUUUUUACAACAUAAUGAAAUUAUUAAACAGUUCCUCUUUCA